GCCCGCCUAGCUCAAUCGGAUAGAGCGUCAGACUCUUAUGUCUCUAAUGCGGGCUUUAAAAUCUGAAGGUUGCGAGUUCGACCCUCGCGGUGGGCU